rnacentral:lncRNA from 1 species
CAAGGCCAGGGAGGCGGAUGCAGACUAUAUGUAAUUCUAUAUGCCAAGAUUCUAUCCUAAAAACUAAAUUUCAUAUAAAGAUCUAAAUAAAAAUUAUUAAAAGGAAAAUUUAAAAAAAACUAUAAUUAUGUCAGCCAAGAACAUAAGAGAAUUUUAAACACAAUUUUGAACAGAGAAUGCCUUUUUAUUUUUUACUUUUUUUUUUUUUGGAGACGGAGUCUCGCUCUGUCGCUCAAGCUCAAGUGCAGUGGCAUGAUCUUGGCUCAUUGCAACCUCUGCCUCCCAGGUUCAAGCGAUUCCCCCGCCUCAGCCUCCCGAGUAGCUGGGAUUAUGGGCAUCCGCCACCAUGCCUAAUUUUUUGUAUUUUUAGUAGAGACGGGGUUUCAUCACGUUGGCCGGGCUGGUCAAACUCCUGACCUCAGGUGAUCUGCCCGCCUCGGCCUCCCAGAGUGCUGGGAUUACAGGUGUCAGCCAUGGCGCCCAGCCGGGAAUCCCCGUUUUUUUUUG